UCUUGUAGCGGUAGCCCUUGGUAACGCCAGUGAUGAGGUUCUCGACGUGGCUGAGGGCAGUUCGAAUUGCAGCAGUGGUCUUGCGGGAGCCGAACCAAGCGUCGACCUUGAGCUUCCUCUUUCCGGUGGCCUCAUCGGUGAUGAGUUGGAAGUCGAGGUUGAGAUGCUUGAAGUUGCGAGUAAGCUUCCCGCGGGGUCCCUCCACUUCGAUCUGCUUGGCUUUCACCUUAAUCUUAACACCGUCGGGAAUAUCCAUAGUCUCCGAUGACAGAAUCGUCUUCAUCUUGGACAAUCGCUCACAGCAAUCCCGCCUCCUCUUUUUUCUACGGAAGUGCAAAAAAGUGGCAGCCGAAAAACCCU
rnacentral:lncRNA from 1 species